GGGCUGUGGGUCUCGGUUCUCGGGGGCCGGAGCGGUGGGUCACGGCUCUCCGAGCCGGGCCGGGGCCGCUCGGUCUGGGGGCGGGAAGCACUGCGGCGGCGCCGGGCUCCUCUCCGCCCGCCGCACCUCGGCGGCUGCCUGCGGGGUGUGGGGAACGGUGGAGCCGCUGCUGGAGCAGAGGGCAGAAGAGGAAAAAGGCGGCAGGGCAGGAGUGUUAGAAGGCCAGAGGAAGGCUGCAGCCCUUACAUGGGAAAAUACGGCCUAAUCUCCUGAUGGGGGUGGGCGUGUGUGUGUGUGUGUCUGUCUGUCUGCAUUCGAGCUGCUGAUCCAGCAUUUUGAUAGCAACAGUUCGGGAGCCUGGUAGACUACAGCGGGAGUGAAUGUGACCACACCACCCAGCAGCUCAUCCCGGCUGGGUUAAUGCGAGCGGAGAGACAGGAGCUCCAGUCCUUUCCCAGAGUGUCUUCAGUGGGAAAGUUCUGGGGAGGGGUUGCCUUCUGGGGGCGAGGAGGGAUGGUGCACAUAGAGCCUCUGGGAGAAAGGGAGAUUUCCUAUUCGGCUUUUUCUUCUCCGCCCUGCAGCUUGAAUAAAUUCCUUCACAGAGAAGACAUUUUUAUGCUAGGUUUAAAUUGUGUCAGCACCAGACAUGCAAAAUAUCUUUUGUAAUGUUUCUUCUUCAGUGCUGGAACAUGGGUUUUAUUUCUCAGGUUUACUCCAACCUGGGUCUAUGGACUGAGGGCCCCAUGAGCACUCACAACACGUCAGAUGCAGUCCUGGAGCUUGAAUUCUGCCUCAGUGCCCUCUGCACCCACUUUGUGUACUCACCACUGCUCAGUGAACUGCAGCCUGGUGAGGCUGAUCUGGAGAUUUACUUCAAAAGCGUGCCCUUGAUCCACACCAAAACAUGAAUGUGGAUGUGCCCACAGCGUGGUGGGCAGAAAGAGAGCUGGUGUGACUUUCCCAAGGCUGAGAGCUGGAGCCUGCUCCACAGCAUACCAUUCUAGCACCCUCCCCUCAAAUCAGCUUUCUGCCUGGUGCCAAGCCUCCACCUCUGAGAGCACAUUGGCUCUCAGGUCUUUUCUUUGGCAGGGAGCUGUGCAGUGUUCCAUGAGUAUAGACACUUCAUUUACUGCUUGCAUGCCUUCACCUAGCUCAGUCAGGUGUUUUACCUCCUGCUCUUCAUUGUACCAGGGCCUGAAAUGGCAGGGAUACUAAACUCCCUGUGUCACUUGAGCUGUGCUAUUGGUGUAAAGAAGGAGAAAAAUCAAGUACUGUUAUUAACCCCACAAUUAUUUAAAGACCCAGUCUGACAUUCUUUCCUUGGCCAGGGGCCUUGCUUAUAAUGGAAUUUUGAUAAAUGUGUCUAAAUUAGGCAUGUGUUGGGAUUAGACAUGAGUAGAAAUUGCUUGGCGUUAAAAUUGUGGAAAAACUUUGCUUCACACAUGUGAACAGUGGCUCGGUUAAAACUGGCUUUAUAAACCUAGGGAGAAGCAAACCAGUAUGCAUUUCUUUAUGCAAUUUAUACCUUCCAUGGUAUACACCAAGGUCCCCAAGUCAGUGUUUGCUUGGCUAAUGGCAUCUCUACAGCAGUUCAUUUACUUCCCUUAUAUGGCCUUUACAUUCAUGCCCUGAGCUGCUGCCAUCUUGCAUUCCCUCACAGAAACUGUACGCUGAAUUCUACAUCUCUCCUGAAGCAUCUUAUCUUGCCAACUGUCUCUGAAUGCCCCCACAAGCUGGCUGCAUAACUUCAGCACUUGUAGGGCAAUAAGCAUUAUUUCACCAUCCAUUUUCUCUCAGAGAAGGAGUUUUGUUUUGAUUAGAAACAAACACAUUGUGUGUAUAAAUU